rnacentral:rRNA from 1 species
GGGCCCGCACAAGCGGUGGAGCAUGUGGUUUAAUUCGAUGCAACGCGAAGAACCUUACCUACUCUUGACAUCCAGAGAACUUUUCAGAGAUGAAUUGGUGCCUUCGGGAACUCUGAGACAGGUGCUGCAUGGCUGUCGUCAGCUCGUGUUGUGAAAUGUUGGGUUAAGUCCCGCAACGAGCGCAACCCUUAUCCUUGUUUGCCAGCGAGUAAUGUCGGGAACUCCAGGGAGACUGCCGGUGAUAAGCGGGAGGAAGGUGUGGAUGACGUCAAGUCCUCAUGGCCCUUACGGGUUGGGCUACACACGUGCUACAAUGGCAUCUACAGUGGGUUAAUCCCCAAAAGAUGUC